rnacentral:rRNA from 1 species
UGGGGAAUAUUGCACAAUGGGGGGAAACCCGUGAUGCAGCGACGCCGCGUGAGCGAAGAAGUAUUUCGGUAUGUAAAGCUCUAUCAGCAGGGAAGAAAAAAUAGACGGUACCUGACUAAGAAGCCCCGGCUAACUACGUGCCAGCAGCCGCGGUAAUACGUAGGGGGCAAGCGUUAUCCGGAUUUACUGGGUGUAAAGGGAGCGCAGGCGGCAGUGCAAGUCUGAUGUGAAAGCCCGGGGCUUAACCCCGGGACUGCAUUGGAAACUGUAUUGCUUGAGUGUCGGAGGGGUAAGUGGAAUUCCUAGUGUAGCGGUGAAAUGCGUAGAUAUUAGGAGGAACACCAGGUGGCGAAGGCGGCUUACUGGACGACAACUGACGCUGAGGCUCGAAAGCGUGGGGAGCAAACAGGAUUAGAUACCCUGGUAGU